rfam:Pan troglodytes isolate Yerkes chimp pedigree #C0471 (Clint) chromosome 16, whole genome shotgun sequence.
GCUGGGCAUGGGGGCGCAUUCCUGUGGUCCCAGCUAUUCAGGAGGCUGAGGUGGGAGGAUCACUCGAGCCCAGGAGGUCAAGGCUGCAGUGAGUUGAGAUCAUACCACUGCACUCUGGUCUGGGUGAUAGAGUGAGACCCUGUCUCAA